rnacentral:rRNA from 1 species
UACGGAGGGUGCGAGCGUUGUCCGGAAUCACUGGGCGUAAAGAGCGUGUAGGCGGCCCGGUAAGUCCGCUCUGAAAGCCCGGGGCUCAACCCCGGGAGGCGGGCGGAUACUGUCGGGCUAGAGUCCGGAAGAGGCGAGUGGAAUUCCUGGUGUAGCGGUGAAAUGCGCAGAUAUCAGGAGGAACACCAAUGGCGAAGGCAGCUCGCUGGGACGGUACUGACGCUGAGACGCGAAAGCGUGGGGAGCAAACAGG